rnacentral:rRNA from 1 species
UCUGGUAAUGAUGGCAGAGAGGUCACACCCGUUCCCAUACCGAACACGGAAGUUAAGCUCUCUAGCGCCGAUGGUAGUUGGGACCUUGUCCCUGUGAGAGUAGGACGUUGCCAGGA